UAGAUACCCUGGUAGUCCAUGCCUUAAACGAUGCAUACUAGAAGUAAGAGGGCUCAACCCCCCUUGUUUCGGAGCUAACGCAUUAAGUAUGCCGCCUGGGGAGUACGCUCGCAAGGGUGAAACUCAAAAGAAUUGACGGGGGCCCGCACAAGCAGUGGAGCAUGUGGUUUAAUUCGAUGCAACGCGAAGAACCUUACCUGGGCUUGAAAUUUAGAGGACGACAUCAGAGAUGAUGUUUCCCGAAAGGGUC
rnacentral:rRNA from 1 species